ACGUAGGGGGCGAGCGUUGUCCGGAUUUACUGGGCGUAAAGCGCGCGCAGGCGGCCCGUUAAGUCGGAUGUGAAAACCUGGGGCUCAACCCCAGGCCUGCACCCGAUACUGGCGGGCUCGAGGCAGGUAGGGGAGAGUGGAAUUCCCGGUGUAGCGGUGAAAUGCGCAGAUAUCGGGAGGAACACCGGUGGCGAAGGCGG
rnacentral:rRNA from 1 species